UACAGAGGUCUCGAGCGUUGUUCGGAUUCAUUGGGCGUAAAGGGCGCGUAGGCGGCGGGGUAAGUCUGGUGUGAAAUCUCGGAGCUCAACUCCGAAACUGCACUGGAUACUGCUCUGCUAGAGGGCUGGAGAGGAGAUCGGAAUUCACGGUGUAGCAGUGAAAUGCGUAGAUAUCGUGAGGAAGACCAGUGGCGAAGGCGGUUGCCUGGGGCUUUGCUGACGCUGAGGCGCGAAAGCGUGGGGAGCGAUCCGG
rnacentral:rRNA from 1 species